ensembl:ncRNA C03C11.8 ncRNA
AGGAAGGGGCAGGAGGGCGGAAAGAAAAGCAAAUUCAGCAGAUUUGAGCCUCAUAUGAUAAAUUACAUCUAGAGUCGCAUAUUCGUGGGGUGGUGCUGGUGGGGGGGUUGGAAAGGGGGUGAGAAGCUCCUUCCUCUUUUCUCUUUCACCAGAGUUUUAACUUCUUUUUUCCCCCGUUUCGGGCACGUCCCUCUCUCUCUCUGUCUCUCUCUGUCUGCCUGUCUUGGAAAGAUUCGUCUUGUGGGCCCCCGGUGGACCGCUCCGACACCGAAGGCCCCCGGCGGAGCCACCCCAUUCUUUAUCACUUUUAUAUUUUUUCUAUGGUUUGUGUU